rnacentral:rRNA from 1 species
GUGGGGAAUUUUGGACAAUGGGCGCAAGCCUGAUCCAGCCAUGCCGCGUGCAGGAUGAAGGCCUUCGGGUUGUAAACUGCUUUUGUACGGAACGAAAAGACUCUGGUUAAUACCUGGGGUCCAUGACGGUACCGUAAGAAUAAGCACCGGCUAACUACGUGCCAGCAGCCGCGGUAAUACGUAGGGUGCGAGCGUUAAUCGGAAUUACUGGGCGUAAAGCGUGCGCAGGCGGUUAUGUAAGACAGAUGUGAAAUCCCCGGGCUCAACCUGGGAACUGCAUUUGUGACUGCAUAGCUAGAGUACGGCAGAGGGGGAUGGAAUUCCGCGUGUAGCAGUGAAAUGCGUAGAUAUGCGGAGGAACACCGAUGGCGAAGGCAAUCCCCUGGGCCUGCACUGACGCUCAUGCACGAAAGCGUGGGGAGCAAACAGGAUUAGAAACCCUAGUAGUCC